ACAUUCUGUGAUUCAUGGGCUCGCGCACUGAUUCAGAUGCUCGCUGAAGUAGUUAGCUGCAGAGGAGGACAUCUGUCAGUCACAUUGAUUCACAUCUGGCUACAGACUGAUCGUGAUCGAUGUGGGACCAUAUCCUAUGAGUACAGUUGUUUUGCUGUUUGAGAGCUUGUAUCUUUACUGAGAGCUUUACUGCAGUCAAGAUGUGGAGAAGGCUCUUGAUCUCUUCAUAGAGAAACUGAGACAAAAGUAGUUUUGGGAUGCAUUAGCCCUCGCUGCAUCUGUCUUCCUCCGACAGCUCAGGAGUGAAAACAAAAGAAAGAAUGAAAGAGAAGAUGAGAUAAGACAAGCCAAAAAGCAAGUGAAGUCAUUCUUUUCUCUUUGCCUCCAGCUUUUAGUUAGAAAAGCCUUUAUUCCCCAAAUUCUGUCGUGAUGCAUUAUGCAUGAGCUAAACACCCCUCUCCUGCAGACGCUUCUUGCCUCCUUUCACUUUUUUUCUGUGUACCGUUCUUCUUUUUGGCUCUCGGUAUGUAUCCUCCUCCUCCUCCUCUCUCUUUCCCUUUCUCCCUCUUCCUUUGUGUCUUAGUACAUUUUUUCACCCCCCUCUCUCUCUCUCUGUCCUUGCUCUUUCAUUCUAUCCUCUCUGCCCUCUCGUGUUGCCUUGUUGAAACACUAAUGGCUUGGUACAAGUCAUUUCCUCCCUGAGCGCUAACAUGAUUACUCUGUUUUUGUACUGUGUUUCUGUAUGACAAAUUUGUUUAUGGGAAGAAAAGGCGUAAGAGAGAAAAAAAAACAUCAUCUAAUGACCCCGCCGAACAGGCUUGCAGCACAAAGAGGCUCAAAACAUCAAGCUACUUGCAACAAAAGUCAAUCUCUUUAAUUACACAG